CCUACGGGUGGCAGCAGUGAGGAAUAUUGGUCAAUGGGAGAAAUCCUGAACCAGCCAAGCCGCGUGAGGGAAGAAGGCCCUAUGCGUUGUAAACCUCUUUUGUCGGGGAACAAAACCCGGGACGUGACCCUGACUGCGUGUAUCCGAAGAAAAAGCAUCGGCUAACUCCGUGCCAGCAGCCGCGGUAAUACGGAGGAUGCGAGCGUUAUCCGGAUUUAUUGGGUUUAAAGGGUGCGUAGGCGGACCGUUAAGUCAGCGGUAAAAUCGCGGGGCUCAACCCCGUCGAGCCGUUGAAACUGGGAGACUUGAGUUGGCGAGAGGUACGCGGAAUGCGCAGUGUAGCGGUGAAAUGCAUAGAUAUCGCGCAGAACUCCGAUUGCGAAGGCAGCGUACCGGCGCCAAACUGACGCUGAGGCACGAAAGCGUGGGGAUCGAACAGGAUUAGAUACCCCAGUAGUC
rnacentral:rRNA from 1 species